UAUGACACAUUCUAUCAGUGUCCGAAGUUUGAAAGUGUUUAGUUACAAAAUUUAAUUUCUCGAUCUGCCGUUCAAAGAGUAAAGAUCCAAAUAAAUUAAUGCUAAAACAUAUACAUGCAUAAUAAAACCCAUCUGAAUUAAGUGUCAAAAUGAGAGCAAUUAGAAAGAAAGUUCUUAUUACUGGAAAGUGUAUGAAAUGUUGAUGACAUUUUUUCAGCAUUAUCGCCAUAGCUGCAACACAUUGUUUUUCUUAACAGAACAAGAUACAAUUUUUCCAUACACAAAUAGAUCAGUUGGAAAGAAUAGAACUAUUUUACUCAAUACCAAAGCAAUAACCUGGAAAAUCCAUUUUAAAAAAAAAAAAAGAAUUCUCUCAGUGAAUAUUUGAAUAGAAAAGACUGAUAUUCUGUCAAGUCCUGGGAAGAAGAAGAAGAAGGAAGAGGAGGAUGAUGAUGAUGAUUUGAAAGGCAGUGAACACGUACUCUAAAAGAUGAAAUUUGUACAGAUACAGCCAAGUGAUGGACAUGAGAACCAGAUUGAUUUUGUACUUAUCAGAAAGCAAGACAGGCAGAUAUUUUUGAACACUGAAUAGAGAAAUGUAUUCUUCAAUAAACUUUGGUGAUUAAUGAUGUGAAUAUAGAAGCAAAUGAAAAGUUGGAGAGAGAUGGUAUGGGAAUUAAAUCAUCUCACUGUCAGCUGAGACUUCCACACAAUUGUUAAACCUAUAUUGAUUGAGAAUAUGAAAGAGAACUACAGCAUAAAGACAUCUUACUGUCACAAAGAACUGAUUUUGAAGAGAACAGGGUAUCAAUCAACACAGAGGCCAUGGAAGGAGUGAAAGAAAAAAGGUAUCAAAAUAGGUGGGUAGCAGGAUAUCAGGUGUAUCUAAUCAGAGUGGAUCUAAGAGUAGGAAGUUUGCUAAUGAUGUGUUGUCAGAAUGGAAGUAUGAAGCAUUUUGAUGUCAAGUACAGAUGCCAGAAAAAAGAAGAGGUGGAUGAAAUUCAGAGAAGCAUUAAUAAAGUGUUUUUGUGAAGUGUUGUAUGAAGCAUGUGUAAAAAGUGAUAUAAAAAUUCAAUGUGGAAGAUUUGUAGAAACUGGAGGGAAAUGACACUGACCAAUACUUUGUGAAUAAAAUUUGGCAGACAAAAACUGUGUGGAAGCUCAUUGCCUCCUGUUUGUUACAGUUACCCAAGUCACAAUAGGGAAAUUUAAGACCAACUAUCCAUAAGGAAUCCUUUAGGCUCAUAGAUUAGUCUUUGUAGGUGAGUCUGUUAAAAAAUUAAGGAAAAACUCCAAACAUGAGAGCAAAGUCUAAAAUUGAGAGACCUCAAAGUAAACCUUGCAAAGACAAAAGUUUUAAUAAGGAGGAAAAAAAAGAUUCUACUAAGUGACCACACUCAAUAUGCAGAAAAUAGGUUGAAAUUCUGAUUGCAUCAAAUGCCAGCAAUGGGUGUACAAGAUGAGCACCUAUAUCUGGCAUUUGGAUUACAGAUAAGCUCACAAAGAGAGACUUUGUAUACAACAAAAACAUUCAUGAAAUACUUUUGAAUGCACAGAAAACUCUCUAGAAAAAGCUGAUAGCUUCUGUUACCUAGAUGACCAAAUUACCAGUGGAGUUGGUAUUCCAAGUGCAUCGUAGCCAGAGUAAGAACAAUUUAUCCCUGCUUGCAAAUGAAUUCUCUCUGUAAGUGAAGAGCAAAUUGUAUGAUGCACAUGUAAGAAAUGUUAUGCUCUUGAUAGCCAAACAGGAGUACUGAAUGAAGAGGGUGUGCAACGACUAGAAGGAAAUGAUAUAAGUAUGCAUCUCUGUUUGUGUAAUGUUUAAUGUAUGUGAACAAUAAAGCACAACUGAACUGAGGGUAAAGCAGUAUACAAGUUUUUUCUGUUGCCCACAAUGUGCUAGAGAAAAAGACUGCAUUGGUAUGGACAUUUGAUACAAAUGGUGAAUGACAGUUGAAUAAAACUAUUAAAUUAUCCAAGCGGAAGGCAACUGUAGAAGAGAAAGACAUGGGAAAAAGUGAAGACUUAUUUAUUAAGAGACUGAACCUCCUAAAGGGAAAGACAAGGACUCAGUAAGUGGUAAGACCCUGUGCUGGAGAAAACCAAUCCAACCUAUGCAAACUUUAUCUAACAAACAUCAUCAUCAUAUGCUUCGAUUUAUUUUUUACUAUAGUCUAUAAGUGAAAAACUGAUGUUCUUCAGACACCAAGUUACAGACAUUAUCCUACUGUCAGAAAUGCAGUAAACCAGUGACUGGCUCAUUGUAUUAUUAAUGUUAUUAUUCACAAGUUACAAUAUAUAAGAAAUAAUCUAGCUAGUUAUUAAAAGCAUUACCUUUAAUAUGGAUAUAUGGAGAAAAGUGAUGUUGGCAAAGGAAACAGUGGAAAAGAUUGAAAUGGUGAGAUCAAAUAUAAAGAGUGUGGAACUCAAAAAGAAAUGUAAAAACCAAAAUAAGUAGCAAUAUGUUGUGCAGCUGACCCAGCCAAUCUAAACCAACAUCAGUACUUUUACAACAUACAUUUUUUUCCCCAAUCAUUACAAACUAAUUAGAAUAAGAGAAAUAAACAAUACUAAUAAAAAGGUGAGAAAAUAUUUUAACAAGAAUUUAUUGCGCAGAAAUAAAAAUUUAUUAACAACAGAUAUUCAGGAAGGUACUGCAAAAAUCUUGUGGUCGGUUCAGGGAUUUGGGGAACAAAGAGUUCAAUUUUUUACUUUUCUUUAGUAAUAACUAAUAUAUUAUUUUACAAUUUUUAAAUUAAUUAACAUUUUUUCUGCCUCCUUAUAGCAUAACAUUUUAUUUGUUCCAAAUUAAAUUAUCUUAGAUUUUAAAAUGGUCCAAAGAGUUAGGGAAUUUUUCAAUUUUAUUAGUUUUUUCUUCUUUUUUUUCUGAACUACACAAACAUAUCAGCAACAAUAAAUAGAAUUUUUUUAUCCCAAAGUGGACUGUUCCACAAUAUCAGUGGAUGGUGGUGACAGGACACUGUUAACUGGAGAUGAGUGUUUUGUGACAUCACUAAGUGCUGCUGAUGGGACACCAUUAACCGGAGAGUCCAAAACAUCAUCUGCUUCAACUGGCUGACCAAUUUCAGCAGGUGGUUCUGCUGGAGAAAACACCAGCUGUGCAUGUUCGUUGUUGUUAUCAGCAUACUUAUAGUGCUGUUGUACUAUCUGGGCUAAACGGGUGAGCUGUACCGAAGGAGAGCUAACUCCUCGCAUUGGCACAAUAAUUGGGCUACGUAUAGCUUCUUCACUAUUGUCUUCAUCUGAUGCAGAUGUUGAAGAGGCGCUGGCAGCACCAUUAAAGCUGUUUGCUUUCACUUUCACUAUAUGUGUCUCCAUUGGAGGUAGCAGGGUUGGACUCCCCGGAUCAGUUUUUUCUCCAUCUACUAAAAGAGACAAUGUUGGAG